rnacentral:rRNA from 1 species
AGUUCGAUCAUGGCCUGAUUGAACGCUGGCGGGAUGCUUUACACAUGCAAGUCGAACGGCAGCACGGACUUCGGUCUGGUGGCGAGUGGCGAACGGGUGAGAAUACCGGAACGUGCCUUAGUAGCGGGGAUAACUACGCGAAAGCGUAGCUAAUACCGCAUACGCCCUUCGGGAAAGCGGGGACCCUCUGGGCCUCUGCACUCAGAGCGGCCGAUAUCGGAUUAGCUAUUGGUGGGGUAACGGCUCACCAAGGCGACGAUCCGUAGCUGGUUUGAGAGGACGAGACCAGCCACACUGGGACUGAGACACGGCCCAGACUCCUACGGGAGGCAGCAGUGGGGAAUUUUGACAAUGGGAAACUCCUGAUCCAGCCAUCUCGCGUAUGAUGAAGGCCUUCGGGUUGUAAAGCACUUGGUGCAGGGAAAGAAACGGCAUCGAUACCCCGUGCAACUGACGGUACCUGCAGAAUAAGCACCGGCUAACCACAAAGCCAAAGCAGCGCCGUGGUAAUGGCGUAGGGUGCAAGGGGUUAAUCGGAAUUACUGGGCGUAAAAGCGUGUGCGCAGGCGGUUCGGAAAGAAAGAUGUGAAAUCCCAGAGUUUAACUUUUGAACUGCAUUUUUAACUACCGAGCUAGAGUGUAAAGCCAGAGGGAGGUGGAAUCCCGCAGUAGCAGGAAAUGCGUAAAGAUAUGGAGGUGAACCACCGAUGGCGAAGGCAGCCUCCUGGGAUAACACUGACGCUCAUGCACGAAAGCGUGGGAGCAAACAGAUUAGAUACCCUGUAGUCCACGCCCUAAACGAUGUCAACUAGCUGUUGCCUUCGGGCCUCGGUAGCGCAGCUAACGCGGUGAAGUUGACCGCCUGGGGAGUACGGUCGCAAGAUUAAAACUCAAAGGAAUUGAUUGGGACCUGCACAAGCUGGAAGAUGAUGGGAUUAAUUCGAUGCAACGCGAAAAACCUUACCUACCCUUGACAUGUCUGGAAUCCCGAAGAGAUUUGGGAUGCCGCAGAGAACCGGAACACAGGUGCUGCAUGGCUGUCGUCAGCUCGGGCCGAGAUGUUGCUGUCCUGCAACGAGCGCAACCCUUGUCAUUAGUUGCUACGAAAGGGCACUCUAUCGAGACUGCCGGUGACAACCGGAGGAAGGUGGGGAUGACGUCAAGUCCUCAUGGCCCUUAUGGGUAGGGCUUCACACGUCAUACAAUGGUCGGGACAGAGGUCGCCAACCCGCGAGGGGAGCCAAUCCCAGAAACCUGAUCGUAGUCCGGAUCGCAGUCUGCAACUCGACUGCGUGAAGUCGGAAUCGCUAGUAAUCGCGGAUCAGCAUGUCGCGGUGAAUACGUUCCCGGGUCUUGUACACACCGCCCGUCACACCAUGGGAGUGGGUUUUACCAGAAGUAGUUAGCCUAACCGUAAGGAGGGCGAUUACCACGGUAGGAUUCAUGACUGGGGUGAAGUCGUAACAAGGUAA